rnacentral:rRNA from 1 species
GACGAACGCUGGCGGCGUGCCUAAUACAUGCAAGUCGAGCGCAGGAAAUCGACGGAACCCUUCGGGGGGAAGUCGACGGAAUGAGCGGCGGACGGGUGAGUAACACGUAAAGAACCUGCCCUCAGGUCUGGGAUAACCACGAGAAAUCGGGGCUAAUACCGGAUGGGUCAUCGGACCGCAUGGUCCGAGGAUGAAAGGCGCUUCGGCGUCGCCUGGGGAUGGCUUUGCGGUGCAUUAGCUAGUUGGUGGGGUAAUGGCCCACCAAGGCGACGAGGCAUAGCCGACCUGUGAGGGUGGUCGGCCACACUGGGACUGAGACACGGCCCAGACUCCUACGGGAGGCAGCAGUAGGGAAUCUUCCACAAUGGACGAAAGUCUGAUGGAGCAACGCCGCGUGAACGAUGAAGGCCCUCGGGUCGUAAAGUUCUGUUGUAAGGGAAGAACAAGUGCCGCAGGCAAUGGCGGCACCUUGACGGUACCUUGCGAGAAAGCCACGGCUAACUACGUGCCAGCAGCCGCAGUAA